GUCAGGGUAGCUCAGCUGGUUAGAGCGUCGGAUUCAUAACCCGGAGGUCGGGAGUUCAAGUCUCCCCCUUGACACCA
rnacentral:tRNA from 3 species